rnacentral:misc_RNA from 1 species
AAGUCGUAACAAGGUUUCCGUAGGUGAACCUGCGGAAGGAUCAUUAACACGUAUCCAACGUUAAACAACCCUGUGAACCUUCAUACGCGAGCUCUCCAACUGGCCGUGUCAAGCAAUUCCUGGUAACUCACGCAAUCAGAUUGAUUCAGGAACCUCUUGAUGCUUGUGACUCUUGGAUUUGAUGCGGUGUUCGUAACUCUAGACUUGGUUUUCGAAGGCAUUUCGGUGCUCAAGGAUAACUACCCUUGAUCGGGUAGAUCAUUCGGUCCUCACGGUCGGGUGAACAAGUCUCUGGGGUGAAAGUCCCCCAAUAUUCACUCCUAAUAAUUCAAUUCGGCGAUGCUUAGACGCUCGCACCAAAAACCGAACAACUGUUAACAAUGGAUAUCUUGGUUCUC